rnacentral:lncRNA from 1 species
AGAUCCAUCCUUUUACAAUCCCUGCUAUUAUUCGUCCAUUCAGCGUAUUGAACUAUGAUCCACCUCAAAGGGAUGAAUUUUUGGGAACUUGCGUGCAACAUCUUAAUUCUUACUUAGAUUUUGAGUGUAUCUUGGAUAAAAGAAAAAAACCUCUUCCGUAUGGAAGCCAUAAUAUAGCAUUGGGACAACUACCAGAAAUGCCCUGGGAAUCAAAUAUCGAAAUAGUUGGAUCAAGGCUGCCACCAGGGGCUGAAAGGAUUGCUUUGGAAUUUUUGGAUUCAAAAGCACUUUGUAGAAAUAUCCCUCACAUGAAAGGAAAAUCUGCUAUGAAAAAACGACAUUUGGAAAUUCUGGGGUAUCGUGUAAUUCAGAUUUCCCAGUUUGAAUGGAACUCUAUGGCACUGUCAACAAAGGAUGCUCGGAUGGACUACCUGAGAGAAUGUAUAUUUGGAGAAGUCAAGUCAUG